AUUUGAUGAUGGGGGCAACUGGCACACAAUUUCUUAAUCCUUUCCCAAUUCUUAUGUAAGGUCUCUCCAUUGUAUUGCAUGAUGUAAUGAAUUUCCUUUCUUAUAUU